UACGGGGGGAGCAAGCGUUGUUCGGAUUUACUGGGCGUAAAGGGUGCGUAGGCGGCGCGGUAAGUCGGGCGUGAAAUCUCGGAGCUUAACUCCGAAACUGCAUUCGAUACUGCCGUGCUUGAGGACUGGAGAGGAGACUGGAAUUUACGGUGUAGCGGUGAAAUGCGUAGAUAUCGUAAGGAAGACCAGUGGCGAAGGCGGGUCUCUGGACAGUUCCUGACGCUGAGGCACGAAGGUCAGGGGAGCAAACGGG
rnacentral:rRNA from 1 species